rnacentral:rRNA from 1 species
CCUACGGGUGGCAGCAGUGAGGAAUAUUGGUCAAUGGACGAGAGUCUGAACCAGCCAAGUAGCGUGAAGGAUGACUGCCCUAUGGGUUGUAAACUUCUUUUAUAUGGGAAUAAAAUGUAGCACGUAUGCGGUUUUGCAUGUACCUUAUGAAUAAGGAUCGGCUAACUCCGUGCCAGCAGCCGCGGUAAUACGGAGGAUCCGAGCGUUAUCCGGAUUUAUUGGGUUUAAAGGGAGCGUAGGUGGGUUGUUAAGUCAGUUGUGAAAGUUUGCGGCUCAACCGUAAAAUUGCAGUUGAUACUGGCAGUCUUGAGUACAGUAGAGGUAGGCGGAAUUCGUGGUGUAGCGGUGAAAUGCUUAGAUAUCACGAAGAACUCCGAUUGCGAAGGCAGCUCGCUGGACUGUAACUGACGCUGAGGCUCGAAAGUGUGGGUAUCAAACAGGAUUAGAUACCCGAGUAGUC